CACAUGCAAGUCGAGCGAGAAAGCACUUCGGUGUGAGUAGAGCGGCGGACGGGUGAGUAAAGCGUAGGAAUUUGCCCAGUAGUGGGGGACAACAUGUGGAAACGCAUGCUAAUACCGCAUACGCCCUAAGGGGGAAAGCAGGGGAUCUUCGGACCUUGCGCUAUUGGAGAAGAACCAGCGUCGGAUUAGCUAGUUGGUGGGGUAAAGGCCCACCAAGGCGACGAUCCGUAGCUGGUCUGAGAGGAUGAUCAGCCACACUGGGACUGAGACACGGCCCAGACUCCUACGGGAGGCAGCGGUGGGGAAUAUUGGACAAUGGGCGAAAGCCUGAUCCAGCCAUGCCGCGUGUGUGAAGAAGGCCUUAGGGUUGUAAAGCACUUUCAGUAGGGAGGAAAAGUUAGUCGUUAAUAACGGCUAACCCUGACGUUACCUACAGAAGAAGCACCGGCAAACUCCGUGCCAGCAGCCGCGGUAAUACGGAGGGUGCGAGCGUUAAUCGGAAUUACUGGGCGUAAAGCGCGCGUAGGCGGUUAGAUAAGUCAGAUGUGAAAGCCCCGGGCUCAACCUGGGAACUGCAUCUGAUACUGUUUAACUAGAGUUUGGUAGAGGAGUGUGGAAUUUCAGGUGUAGCGGUGAAAUGCGUAGAGAUCUGAAGGAACAUCAGUGGCGAAGGCGACUCACUGGGCCAUUACUGACGCUGAGGUGCGAAAGCGUGGGUAGCAAACAGGAUUAGAUACCCUGGUAGUCCACGCCGUAAACGAUGUCAAUUAGCCGUUGGAGGGGUUUAUCCCUUGUGUAUCGAAGCUAACGCGAUAAGUUGACCGCCUGGGGAGUACGGUCGCAAGACUAAAACUCAAAUGAAUUGACGGGGGCCCGCACAAGCGGUGGAGCAUGUGGUUUAAUUCGAUGCAACGCGAAGAACCUUACCAGGUCUUGACAUCCAGAGAAUCCUGCAGAGAUGCGGGAGUGCCUUCGGGAAUUCUGAGACAGGUGCUGCAUGGCUGUUCUCAGCUCGUGUCGUGAGAUGUUGGGUUAAGUCCCGUAACGAGCGCAACCCUUAUCCUUAUUUGCCAUCAUUUAGUUGGGGACUAUAAGGAGACUGCCGGUGACAAACCGGAGGAAGGUGGGGACGACGUCAAGUCAUCAUGGCCCUUAUGGGUAGGGCUACACACGUUCUACAAUGGGCAGUACAGAGGGUUGCGAUACCGCGAGGUGGAGCUAAUCUCAGAAAACUGUUCGUAGUCCGGAUCGCAGUCUGCAACUCGACUCCGUGAAGUCGGAAUCGCUAGUAAUCGCGGAUCAGAAUGCCGCGGUGAAUACGUUCCCGGGCAUUGUACACACCGCCCGUCCCACCAUGGGAGUGGGUUGCAAAAGAAGUGGCUAGCUUAUCCUUCGGGAUGG
rnacentral:rRNA from 1 species